AAAAAGAAAAAACUAUUCGAAAACGCUAACAGCGAUGGCAGAAGGUAGCAUGAGACAAGAACACAGAAGUGAACAAUCUGGUCCUCCAUAAUUCUUUGAUGGCCAAAAUGAACAUCAGCGGAAAAAAUGGCAAAAUUUCAUUUGGUGCCUCAAAGUUGUUCACAAUAAUUCUUGAUUGUGUCUCAGAGUCCUUUCCUGAGUCGGUUGAAGCAACAGAAACUAUGAUGAAGAGUGAAAUGUCCAGGUUCCUGAAAUAUGCCCCUGAAAGGCACAGAGGUGGAGGGAGGAAAGAAAAAAGAAAGAGGCAGGAUGAGGACAUUUCAAAUUCCAUUCCAGAUGCUCAAAAUAAAUAAAUGA